rnacentral:lncRNA from 1 species
AUAUUUAAAACAUGCUAUCAUGAAAUGCGUCACUGCACAAACAAAUCACACCACGGAUGGACUGAUUCAAAAAUCCCUCAGCUCCAUGCCCGGCCCUAUUAUGGGCACCACAGGACUUCGUAUUGCCCGGCCCUAUUAUGGGCACCAUAGGACUUCGUACUCGGAGCUAUUGCCCGGCCCUAUUAUGGGCACCACAGGACUUCGUAUUGCCCGGCCCUAUUAUGGGCACCACAGGACUUCGUAUACAGAAGGCUAAUGAAUCAUCCUAAUGUCCAUCCACUAUCAUCUAUCACAACAAUACAAUGCGGCAUAGUCGUGAAUUCUAAUGCAAACAACCUAUAAUAUGAUCAUGAUGCAUGAAGCAUGAUAAAAGCAUUUCAUUUCUUAAUUUAAAAAGUUAAGUUUAGUUCCACUCACCUCUGGCUGACUCUGACAAACUUUGUAGCAGCUGGCUCACUGCUGGGGUCCUUGGUUCCUCGGGUCCGAACCUACACAGGUGGACUCCAAUGAGGGACCAAACACACAAACAUAACUCUAAUAUAUUCCCCAAAAACCCCCUAAAACAUCCUGAAAAUAUCACAUAGAGAUAUGCAUGAAGUGGCUGAACAGGGCACUUUCGGCGGCACCUUCGGCGGCCGAAAGCCCCAGAC